AUACGGAGGACGCGAGCGUUAUCCGGAUUCAUUGGGUUUAAAGGGUGCGUAGGCGGAGGAGUAAGUCAGGGGUGAAAUGCCGCAGCUCAACUGCGGAACUGCCUUUGAUACUGCUUUUCUGGAGUCCGGAUGCCGUGGGAGGAAUGGGCAGUGUAGCGGUGAAAUGCAUAGAUAUUGCCCAGAACACCGAUUGCGAAGGCAUCUCACGAAUCCGGGACUGACGCUGAGGCACGAAAGCGUGGGGAUCAAACAGGAUUAGAUACCCUGGUAGUCCACGCAGUAAACGAUGAUAACUAACCGUCGGCGAUAGACAGUCGGUGGCCAAGCGAAAGCGAUAAGUUAUCCACCUGGGGAGUACGUUCGCAAGAAUGAAACUCAAAUGAAUUGACGGGG
rnacentral:rRNA from 1 species